GGAAGCGUUUCUGCGGCUGGUGCCCGGCCCGGACUUCAAAUCCGGUGGGGGGUGUGGCGACACGUCCCCGGCGGGUUCGAUUCCCGUCCGCUUCCGCCA
rnacentral:tRNA from 2 species